rnacentral:rRNA from 1 species
GUGAGGAAUAUUGGUCAAUGGGCGCAAGCCUGAACCAGCCAUCCCGCGUGCAGGAAGACGGCGCUAUGCGUUGUAAACUGCUUUUCCAGGGAGAGAAACUUGCGCACGUGUUGCGCAAUUGACGGUACCCUGGGAAUAAGCAUCGGCUAACUCCGUGCCAGCAGCCGCGGUAAUACGGAGGAUGCGAGCGUUAUCCGGAUUCAUUGGGUUUAAAGGGUGCGUAGGCGGACUAUUAAGUCAGUGGUGAAAUCCUGCAGCUUAACUGCAGAACUGCCAUUGAUACUGAUAGCCUUGAGUUUGGUUAAGGUAGGCGGAAUGUGUAAUGUAGCGAUGAAAUGCUUAGAUAUUACACAGAACACCAAUUGCGUAGGCAGCUUACUGAGCCGACACUGACGCUGAGGCACGAAAGCGUGGGGAUCGAACAGGAUUAGAAACCCCUGUAGUCC